UGAGGUGUGGAUAGGGGAGAAAUUCCAAUCGAACCCGGAGAUAGCUGGUUCUCCUCGAAAUAGCUUUAGGGCUAGCCCCGUAACAGUCUUGCGGAGGUAGAGCACUGAAUUUCCUAGGGGGCGUCAAAGCCUACCGAAGAAUAUCAAACUGCGAAUGCCGUACAGAUGAUUUACGGGAGUCAGACUGCACGAGAUAAGUUGGGUGGUCAAAAGGGAAAGAGCCCAGACCCGCAGCUAAGGUCCCAAAGUGCGUGUUAAGUGGAAAAGGAUGUGGGAUUUCGAAGACAACCAGGAUGUUGGCUCAGAAGCAGCCACACAUUAAAAGAGUGCGUAAUAGCUCACUGGUCGAGAGGUCCUGCGCCGAAAAUGUCCGGGGCUGAAACACGACACCGAAGCUCGGGAAUCAGAAAUGAUUGGUAGAGGAGCAUUGAAGACGGAACGAAGCCAUACCGGAAGGAGUGGUGGACUGUCUUGAAGAGAGAAUGCCGGAAUGAGUAGCGAGAGAGAAGUGAGAAUCUUCUCGGCCGAAUAUCCAAGGUUUCCAGGGUAAAGCUGAUCUGCCCUGGGUAAGUCGGGGCCUAAGGCGAGGUCGGAAGACGUAGCCGAUGGACAACAGGUUGAAAUUCCUGUACUGUGAUAUAUCAGAACUGUGGGGACACAGCGGGAAGGCAUGGGCCGGAAAAGGAAAAUCCGGUGCAAGCACCAGAGGAGUAUGGCAGGCAAAUCCGCCAUGCAAUCCGAAAGUGUGAUGCGGAGCGAACAAAAGUAGCGAAGCAUGCUUACCGGCUGUCGAGAAAAGCCGCUAUUGCGUAUAUCACACCCGUACCGUAAACCGACACAGGUGGAUGAGGAGAGAAUCCUAAGGCCGGCGGGAGAAGCAUUGUUAAGGAACUCGGCAAAAUGACCCCGUAACUUCGGGAGAAGGGGUGCUCUUGAAAAAGAGCCGCAGAGAAUUGGCCCAAGCAACUGUUUAGCAAAAACACAGGUCUAUGCAAAACCGAAAGGUGAGGUAUAUGGGCUGACGCCUGCCCGGUGCUGGAAGGUUAAGAGGAGAGGUUAGAGCAAUCGAAGCUUUGAAUUUAAGCCCCAGUAAACGGCGGCCGUAACUAUAACGGUCCUAAGGUAGCGAAAUUCCUUGUCGGG
rnacentral:rRNA from 1 species